UCGAGUGUCUUCUCUCCUUCAUUUUUUGAGGAAAGGUCUCUCACUGAACCUGGAACUCAUGGAUCCACCUUGGCUGGCAGUCAUCAGGUCCCAGCCAUCCUCUUGUCUACAUGCCCCCAACUCUAGGAUUACAGGUGAGUGCUGAGGUAUUUGGGUGCUGGUGAUCCAAAUUUAAAUCCUCAUUUAUAUGGCAAACACUUUACUGACUGAGCCACAUCCUCUUCUAUUGUAUUGUUUUUAUAUUGGUGAAAUUAUUAAGGCCACUCCACGUAGUUAAAAAGGAGGUUUAUUUUGUGGGGUAACUUACAAGUGAAGGGAUAGUUUACAGGGUCUGGGAAAGGUGUGGCGCAGUCCUGCGGUGUUCUCUGGAGAACUCUGCUCGGUCUACCUCCAGCAUCCAGGCUCCAGGAUCCAAGAGAGCCGGCACAUCUGGAUCUGGGGUCUUCAGGGUCCUCCCUUGGCCCUGCCUUAUAGGUGUGACAGUUACCAAAGCCUCAAUGGGGGUUGGAACUUCCAGAUCAAAGCUGGAAUGGCUACCCACUACAUUUUUAAGUUGAAGUACUCUGUGGGAAAUGUUAUGCAGUAUUUUCUAUAGAUAUGUUAUUAAAGUUGGAGGGAUAAUGUUAACAUCUGAGCCAUUUUCUGUGUUUUAGGCACUAUAUAACACCACAGCAUGUGCAGUAUUUUUGCCAUAACCAUUAAUCUGAUAAGUUGAAUACCAACCUAUUAAUCAGGAAUUUUACAUGCCUUGCUAUAAAAAAAUAAACUGUUUGCAUUGGAAACUCAGGUUCAGUUUACUAUGAUUUUUUUUAUGCACUCAAUAAUUCCAAAUUGAGCAUCUGAGACCAAGCUGUCCCCAGUUGGAGGGCUGAGGAUACAUGCAAAUGAUUUACCAAAAGAAAACUGAGACCAUGCAACAUGCAGACUGAAGCAAUGUGAGUAUACAGUGGGGAAAAAAAAAGAUCCGGUCUCUCCUGGAAAAUAACGAGAAGCUCCACGAACAUGUGCUAAGAAAAGAAGCUGCAGACGUCUAUGGGUGGGGUGCAGCUCCAGUCACCUCCUCACCACUGACUUUAGUGUGCUAUUAUGCAGCCACUUAGCAUGUCUAGCCCUUAUCUCAUUUUAUCGAUAAAAUAAGGUUAAGGUCAGCAGACACAACCAAGGCUGUAUACCCUCCCUAAUUAUUGAGAGUUGGUAGACUUCUUCAGGAAUUAGAAUCUAAACCUACACAUGUUAGGAGAGAAUCCUGUGUGGGCAGAAUUCACACUGAGCUCCACAGCAGAUAGCUGACUUGCCUUCAAAAAGCAUGGGGGUGAAGAGGGGCACCUUUUCCACAUUCUCACUGGAAGAAGCCCUGGGAAACCUUCUCUCUUGAACUCCAAAGUGGCAAAAUGUAAGUGUGUGAUCAAGAGAGAAUGUGCACAAUUGGAAGAGAGCAAGCUGCCGGGGUCCGUAAGCAGCAGAGUGAGUUCUCUGUGCGUCUCCCCCUAUUCUGUGUGCCUUGCUCCCCGCUUCCUUCCUCCUCUUAUUUUCUGUGUGUCUUAUUUCUAUUCCUCUGUUCACCCCCAUCUCUUCCCCACACGUACCUGAGCUAUCUCCCAGUUAUAAUCAAGCAUGUUAAAUGAACGUAAGGCAAACCCCGACACACACACACACACACACACACACACACACACACACACACACACACACUACAUGUUAACGUGCUUUGCAUAAGCGCAAAGUGUAGAAUAAAUAUUGGCGACUCUUAUUAGUCCAAGUUAGUGCCUUUAAAAGACUCCUUAUAGUUUUCCGGAAAGGUGUAUCUUAUAGAGAGUCCCAGAAGGAAUACAUAACAGACUUGGAAGAAGAAGAAAGAAGACGGACUCCUAAAUCAGAAGCCUGGAGACACAGGGUCCUUCGGAAGCUGUGUGUCAGCCUAGAGAAACAAUCAACUGCAAUGCAGCUGGAACCCCCUCCACAGGCGUAACUACUCUACCCACCUCACCACAGCCAGUCCGAUUCAAAUAUUCAUCUAGAAAAAAACAGUCCUUGGAAGCUCAAAUCAACUAUUUUACAAUCCUUUUUGCUCUUUCCUGAGAAAACAGAUUGAAUAUUUGUCAUUCCUCACCCCCCAAAGAAGGAAAGUGACUUCUCCUUCUCUAAAGCAAAAGAAAAAGAUGGACCUGGUGUCUGGUGAGUGAAGUCUGUGCUCAGAGUGGUUGCACAUUAAGUGGUUACACUGUCUUUUCAAUCUUUCUAUAUGUUUACAUCCAAGAAACUAAAUACACUUGCCAAGACUCUUUGUGGGACUUCUGAGUAGAAUGGUCCUGCUAGGAAACAACCUUGUUCCUCGCCAUCUCUCUUUCCAUUCUGUGAGUCUCAUAACUUUGGCAAAAAUGAUUUUGUUUCUGGAACAUGAGGAUGGAUGUGGAUGGAAGUAGAAGGACGAAGGGAGAAACCCAGCACUAAGCCAUGCUGUCGGAAGGCCCAUGGUGCUGCCCGUCAUCCUCCAUGUGGCUAAUAUUUCAUACAAUGGGUCUUAUAACCAGAUCAUCAAUUUUCUAGGUGUGUUUCAUGUGCUAUUUUCAUUACAUUUAUUUGUCACUGGGUUUCAAUGACCUUAGCAAUUAUGUGUCAUUAUGCCUAUAUGGUAAGUGGAGAAUUAAAGGCUUAGAUAAGAUGUAUUUCUCACAGUUGCAUAGCCACAAAGCACUAGAGCCAGGAUUCAAACCCAGUUUUCCUGUCAUACCCAAACCAGAAAAACACAACUGCACAAUCUCUGUGUCAGUGAGACUUCUCACUUAGCAAAUCCCAGUAAAUGGUCAAACUAAAUCAACAAGAGACAACCUUGCUCCCUAGAGGCACUGAGGGAUGUCUGGAGGCAUUUUUAGUUCUCACAAAUGAGUAGAGACUAGUAGAUGGAGGUCAGGGGUGCCUCAUCCCUCCCCAAAAUCCUUCAAUCUACAAAAAAGCCCAUACUGCUGUAGGAUGUCAUUCUGUAUGCUGUGAAUAUGUGUUGCUCUGAUUGGCUGAUAAAUAAAACACUGAUUGGCCAGUAGCCAAGCAGGAAGUAUAGGCAGGGCAAGCAGAUGAAGAGAAUUCUGGGAAGAAAAAGGCUGAGUCAGGAGUUGCCAGCCAGACCCAGAGGAAGCAAGAUGAUAAGGCAGAACUGAGAAAAGGUACCAUGCCACAUGGCUAAACAUAGAUAAGAAUCAUGGGUUAAUUUAAGUGCAAGAGCUGCUCAGUAAUAAGCCUGAGCUAAUGACCAAGCAGUUAUAAUAUAUAAUAUAAGCCUCUGAGUGAUUAUUUUAUAAGCGUUUCAUGGGACUGUGUGUGGGGGGGAGACUGGAGAAACCUUUUGACUACACCAUACAAUGAAAAACUGUCAGGUAACUCAACACACUCUGCAUGAGACAUUUUCAUCAUUAUCAGUUUCCUGUAACCCACUACGACCUUCUGUGUUGAAAACAAAAGCAGUAGAGGCUGGGGUGAUCACUAAAUUAAUGAAGAACUUGUCUUCAAAACCCCACACAAGUAAAAGCCAGGUGCCCUGAGCUUGUUAUCCCAGCACUGUGGAGAUAGAGACAGUAGAUUCCUGGACCUUACUGGCCGGCCAAUUUUGCCUACUUUAAUGACUUCUAGGCCAAUGAGACAUGGUCUCAAACAUCAAGGGGUACUGCAACUCAAGAAUGACAACUGAGAUUGUCCCGUGGUCUCUACAUAACUCUCUCUCUCUCUCUCUCUCUCUCUCUCAUACACACACACACACACACACACACACACACACACACACACAAUCACACACACAAAUGGACAAAAGAAAGAGAAGUCUAUAACUUCUUUCUUUCAACCAAGCUUCCUCACAACAAGUUAUGAAUUCCUCUAUUUUAAAUUUUCUCUAUUUUAAUACCUUCUUAAUAUACAGUUGCAUGCUCAUCAAUGUCUAAAACUGGAAAAGGUCCUUUUUUAAGAAUGGAAAUGGAAAAGAAAGGGGAGGGACAGAGAUGGGAAGAGAGAGAAGGGAGAAGAAAACAAAGUGAGAAUAAAAAGGAACGAAGAGGAGGAGAAAACUAAGAUUAGAAACUGGCAAUCCACAGCCUUCAACAGCGGAGUCACAUUACAUGGAAAUCAGCGCAGUGACAGCACAAGGAGCCGCUUUGUGUCUUCAUGAAUAACACUAUGUGCUGGGUAAAUGCCUUUCCCCAUUUAGAAACAGGUAGUUAAUGGGAACUGAAGUGAUCAAAUGCUGUGUACCCCAAGGUUACUUACAUCAUGGGCCUGAGUGGCCCAGAGCUCAUAAAUAAAGCAUCAGAGUGUCUUAUUUUAGACCUGGUCAGAUAAGCAAGGACUUGCAUCAUGUGAACGGAGCCCACUGUGAUAUGACACUGAGCCUGGUAAUUCCAGGAGCCCUUGGAAUGUGACAUUUCAAGCGCGGUACACUGAGUUCAUGCCCCAUGGAAGCUCUAAGACCCACCAGGCCUAAAUAUCCCAUCAUCCCUUUGAUUCAGUGGCUGAGAGAGAAGAUUGUCACUGAGCUGGACUUUAAAUGUAUGCCAAGCACACUCCCUGCUAUGCAGAAGUUAAUUUGAGACACAUUUGCAACUUAUAACUCUGAUUUACUCAUUUGCUAGUACGAGGACCACACACAGUUUGACAGCCUGCCAGCUUGCGUAGACCAUUCCCUCUGAAGAGAUUUGGCCCAAGUCACGACCCAGCUUGGCAGCUCAAAAAAACAGCUGCCGGACACUGGAGGAAUGUGGAAUUGAACAUGGAGAAUGAAAAAGCUUUCCUCUUUUCCUCAAAGUUUUACAUAUAAUUAUGUAAUCAUAUUCCUUUUUGGAUACUUUGACAUCAAUUGUGCUUAAUUAAA